GUGUCUCGCUGGCGAUGCGCAUGGUAAUCGAGUCGGGGAGCAACAUACCAGGUUUACGAAAUUUCCGCCCCUCUGCGACUGCAAUUGCAUCGACAACUUUGCGGCACACCUCUGGAGUGGUGGCA
rnacentral:misc_RNA from 1 species